rnacentral:rRNA from 1 species
UACGUAGGGGGCUAGCGUUGUCCGGAAUCAUUGGGCGUAAAGAGCGCGUAGGCGGCCAGAUAAGUCCGGUGUGAAAGUCAAAGGCUCAACCUUUGAAUGCCGCUGGAAACUGUCUGGCUAGAGUCCGGGAGGGGCGAGUGGAAUUCCUGGUGUAGCGGUGAGAUGCGCAGAUAUCAGGAGGAACACCAAUGGCGAAGGCAGCUCGCUGGAACGGUACUGACGCUGAGGCGCGAAAGCGUGGGGAGCAAACAGG